AUACAGAGGGUGCAAGCGUUAUUCGGAAUUACUGGGCGUAAAGCGCGCGUAGGCGGAUGAUUACGUCAGUUGUGAAAGCCCUGGGCUCAACCUAGGAACUGCAUCUGAUACUGGUCGGCUAGAGUUUAAGAGAGGGAAGUGGAAUUCCAGGUGUAGCAGUGAAAUGCGUAGAUAUCUGGAGGAACAUCAGUGGCGAAGGCGACUUCCUGGCUUAAAACUGACGCUGAGGUGCGAAAGCGUGGGUAGCGAACGGGAUUAGAAACCCCAGUAGUCC
rnacentral:rRNA from 1 species